rnacentral:rRNA from 1 species
UACGGAGUGGGCGAGCGUUAUUCGGAAUUAUUGGGCGUAAAGGGCGCGUAGGCGGCGCGAUAAGUCAAAGGUGAAAUCCCUCGGCUCAACUGAGGAACUGCCUUUGAAACUGUCGAGCUCGAGGCCGGGAGGGGGUAGCGGAAUUCCCAGUGUAGCGGUGAAAUGCGUAGAUAUUGGGAGGAACACCAGUGGCGAAGGCGGCUACCUGGACCGGUUCUGACGCUGAUGCGCGAAAGCGUGGGUAGCAAACAGG